GGGCAGAUUUUAGAAAGAAUUACUCCACGUUUACGUUCACUCAGUUCUUGCUUGUUUGGUCUGUUGGUCUGGUGUGUUAUUGUAUUGCCGGCAAUAUCAACCAUCACAAAGACCACAAGUGGACAAACUAGAACAAAACCAGGCAAAAUAAAUAGGUUUUCCUGCUGUAUAAUCCCCAGUGCGCACGCGUAGUGGACAGCAGAGCGACCUAUUUCUGCAAGGAGGUAUUUCUCGCAACAUUGCUCAGUCAUGGCGGAGACUGAGAGGAGGGCGUUGGUGCUGCUGUUAAUCGCUUUCUCCCCGCCCUAUCAGCACUGUUUUCGUCAAGGAAGCCCCAGAGGAAGUUUUCUUAAUUGGUGUUCGUUAUUAGCCAUCACCACCUUGACCAGACGCACAACGGCCAAAGGAACCCGGCGCAUGGAACAAAGACACCGCCUAAGUGAGCUGCAGUUCCCCGCACAGUUGCAGCUGACAAAUGUCAGGAGGUAGUCUGGUGCAUCCAAUGAUGGACUUUGCAGAGAAGCAAGAAUAUACAUCAUAUGAAUUCUGUAAUGAUGUCAGCAGGAAUGUCAGUCUGGUGGGCAGUACCUCCACAGUGUUCCAUCGGGCAGCAGCUCAAAGAUCCAGAGCACAGCACGAGAGGUGGAGGAAGGCAGUGCAGGUACAUUUUAUUGAUGCCUAAUAAUUGAACAGUCUCGUGGAUGUUGACCGCAAUGAAGAAAUCACACGUCUUGCCACGAUAGCAUUCUUUUUUUAUAAUGCUUUUAUUUACUUGCGUCCAUUUUACAAAUUCAGACAAAUGUGUAAUGGAGUCACCUGGCUAUUUAAUUUUGUUUGAUUUCAGCUCUGUCGAUAUCCCACCCUUAGAAUUAGAUAAAAAAUAAGAAUUAUGACAGACAUGUAUACCCAAUUAACUGAAGGGCUGCAGUUUGUUCCUGCACAGAUGUAGUUACUUACCCAGGGAGGAUGAAGUGACAGAGGGUUGUACAUGGCAGUGCCAGCCGUGGGUGGAUGCGGGCAUGCUCCACACCUCUCAUGAGUACAGGUCAUGAAGUAGGCCUAAAUUGUUGAAAUGUUUGAAGAGAAUGGGGAUUGAAAGGGUGCCCAGAAUAUGGACACAGGGGAGUGAAAUUUUUUAUAGAAAUAUCUUCAGAUUUAUUCCUUGCAUUAGUAUCAGAAAAUACCAGCAGAAUCAUAUAAAUGAACUUAGUGGUUCACUUGGAAAGUUUAAUUUUUCAAAUGGCUGUAUUAUUAGUAAACCUUAAGGCUUUAUUGACUUUAAGGGACAGUACAAAUUAAUUAGUAUAUGGCAUAUAUACAUUUAUCCAUUCCAAUAAAUUCCUAAAGGCCUUGCUCACACCUCUUUGAUCUUGAUUGGCUGAAAUGGCAGCUAGUCACAUUGCUGAAAUCCUUCACAUUACUCAAGGUAUUACAUGGGCAACAUUACCAUUUGCAGCUUACCUGACAAGUCUUGAGAUUAUGAAGAAAAAAUAAAUGAAUUACACUUAUGCAUCGCUGUGAAAUAUACUGAAGGUAAUUUCACCAGUGAACAUUUCUGAUUGCUUGUCUUGUGGACUAAUCAGACCAUGAGUAAUACAGUUUCUUGCAUCCCACAGUGGAGAUCCAGCCCCUUUCUAAUUAAUUCUAAUAAGUGGCCAAUAUGGUGGCGAUAAGGAUUCUUUGAAACAUGCUGUUUAUCUCCCAGUAAAUGUAAAUUUCUGGGAAUAAAAGUGCAGCCCUUCAGCCAGUGGGUGUAUAUAAGCUUGAAGUAGGUUUAAACUCUUAAAAGUGUAACAAUUACACUGGCCAACAACAGAUUUAUCCGAUUUUUAGUAGUUAGCCUACUCUGAUGGGUGAAGAAAAAAAUAGUUUUCUUGGUGUAACUCAGGAACUAAUAGGUGUACGAAGAUUUUUAGGAUACCAUAAGAAUCCUUACUAAAUUCCGCUUCGAAACAUAUAUUCGGCUAAAAAAGUUGGCCGACAAAAUUUCGAGAUAGCAAGUGGGGAAGAGUUGGUACUUAGGAUUUAUUGUCUACAAUACUCUAUACGGAGAC